CAGUGAUAGUUCUACAAUGAACAUGGUCUGUCUCCAAGAAAGAAGAGGUGUGGUGGUCGUCUUGCCAGCAAACAGGUGCUGUCCUACGAGGACAUUCAACAAAUCGUCCACGAUGUCAACAACUUCUCCGAUGUCCACGGAAUGCUCCUCCCAGGAAUGAUCCCUGUUUUUAAGCGGGUAGACAUUCGGGUGCUACCGACAUUUGAGAGCAAGUCCUCUGUGUGGAGCAAGUACAACACUUUGGUGUGUGAUCAUGCCUAUGGGCCACAACCAUGAUAAACGACGGGCCACAACCAUGAUAAACGACGGGCCACAACCAUGAUAAACGACGGGCCACAACCAUGAUAAACGACGGGCCACAACCAUGAUAAACGACGGGCCACAACCAUGAUAAACGACGGGCCACAACCAUGAUAAACGACGGGCCACAACCAUGAUAAACGACGGGCCACAACCAUGAUAAACGACGGGCCACAACCAUGAUAAACGACGGGCCACAACCAUGAUAAACGACGGGCCACAACCAUGAUAAACGACGGGCCACAACCAUGAUAAACGACGGGCCACAACCAUGAUAAACGACGGGCCACAACCAUGAUAUAUUCGUGGACAUCACAUGUAGUCCUCAAACAUAUCACGGCGUGAACAUGUGUAGUGUGUGAGAGUAUUUCGCUGUCGUACAUAUGUAUGUACAGUACCAGCCAAAAGUUUGGACACACCUACUCAUUCCAGGGUUUUUCUUUAUUUUGACUAUUUUCUACAUUGUAGAAUCACUGCGAAAUAACACAUAUGGAAUCAUGUAGCAACCAAAAGUGUUAAACAAAUCAAAAUAUAUUUUAUAUUUGAAAUUCUUAAAAGUAGCCACCUUUUGCCACAAUGACAGCUUUGCACAAGCAUGUGUGAUUUUUUUUGAAUGUAGCCAAUACAUUCUGUUGUUUGUAUAUGUACAAAUGUACUGUAUGUGUACAAAUGUAUGCACAUACUGUAUAUACCUGCACAUAUACACUACCGGUCAAAGGUUUUAGAACACCAACUCAUUCAAGGGUUUUAAUUUAUUUGUACUAUUUUCUAUAUUGUAGAAUAAUAGUGAAAGAUAUCAACACUAAGAAAUAACACAUAUGGAAUCAUGUAGUAACCAAAAAAGUGUUGAACAAAUCUAAAUAUAUUUUAUAUUUGAUAAUUCUUCAAAUAGCCACCCUUUAUUGUUCUACAAUGUAGAAAAUUGUUUAAAAAAAUAAAAAUAAAGAAAAACCCUGGAAUGAGUAGGUGUUCUAACACUUUUGACUGGCAGCGUACUUGUGCACGUGUAUGUCCAACGACGAUGCAGACAGACACUGUGUCUGUAUAGUUAGAGCAAGAUGUGUGUGCGUGCGUGCGUGAGUGUGUGCCAAAGAAGAACAUGGACACUCAUGCCGAUGGAUUUCAUGUAUUGUGUUUUAUAUUAAGUUGUUAUUAAUUAUUUGAAUAAACGUCUUAAAAGUAA